GCUGGCUCCAGGUGGCUCCCCACAGUGCGGUCUGCUGUCCUGCUGGGGACACCUCGGACUGGGCACUGCCACUCCUCCUCCAGCGUUGGCAAUGCUGUGGCUUCCUCUGCACAGAGGAAAUGCUGAGAAGGCAGCCACAUACCCGGGCGGGCAGCUCUCACCCUGGUGCAGGACUGCCCCGUACCUUAAGAACUUGCUUGGGACGAACACCGGGCCAGAAGAGAUGAUUGGAUUUUAUGUAUUCACUUAUUUGAAGCAAGGCCUUGAACUCAGGACCUUGCGCUCUCAAGGCAGGUGGGGUGCCACCGAGCUACAUCCUUGGCCCAGGGUUUUGUUUUUUCUUUCUUUUUUUGUCCCAGGGAUCGAACUUGGGUCCUUGCGCUUUUGAGGCAGGUGGUAGAACCACUGAGCUAAAUCCCGGGCCUAGGGUUUUGGUUUUUUUUGAGACAGGGUCUCACUAUAUAGUGUAGGCUGUAUACCCAGUCUGGCCUUGAACUAGUGGCAGUCCUCCUGCCUUUGCCUCCAGAGUGCUGGGAUUACAGGCGUGGGGCACCACACCUGGCCCAAUUUGUUUUUAAAAAUAGGUAAACUGGGUGUGGUGACUAUGCUUUUGAUCCCAGCACUUGUGGAGGCUGAGGCAGGAGGAUCAUCUGAGUUCAAGGCCAUCCUGAACUAGUAAGACCUCUCAAAAAAACAGCAUAGGUGAUAAAUGAUCGGGCAAGGGUGUCUCUGAAUUAACACUUUCAGCCACCUGUUAGGCCACAAGGACCCUUCCUUGGGCCUGUCCUCUUGGCCAGCUGUGCUGAGGACUUGAGCUCCUGUGUGUUCAGGGUCAGAACUGCCUGUAAACUCAGUGACAGUGGCCUGUGAGGCUUCUUGGGCAUUGAGGAAAGGAGUACCUUGUGAUAGGGUGUAUGUAGGUGUCCCGGGUUGCUUUCUUUUUUGUGGAGGCUUUUUGUUGUUUGUUAAUUUGAGACAGAGUUCGCUGUGUAGUUCAGGCAGGCCUUGGACUCACUAUGGAGUCCAGGCUGGUGUCAAACUCAUGCUGAUCCUCCUGCCUCAGCCUCCCAAGUACUAGGAUCACAGGCAUGUGCCACCACACGGGGCCUAUUUUUGUUCUGGUGUUGGUUUGUCUGUCUUCUCAGUGUUGAGGAUCAAACUCGGCCUUGUGCAUGCCCAACUCCAGCCCUCCUGUGCUCUUCUGAGCUGCCUGGCUGUGCUCUGGGCCCGUCCUGUGGCUGCUGGGGGAUUGGGAUGGGGUGCUGCUUGCCACUCACUGCCCCCAGAAGAGGGUGACAGGCUGGCAUGCUGCAGCCAGGUGCCGUGCUAGGGAGUGUUAACGCACCUGGGCCCUGCAGACAGCCCUGGUUCCAGCGUUGCCUGUGGCUGACCUGGACGCCUGGGCAGUGCUGCCUUCCUGGAGAGCAGGCAGGGAGUGCAGGCCCUGGAAGUAGGUGCAGGGUGAAGGCGCAGGGGCCCGCAGCCAGCGGUCUUACAUCGGAGUGUGAGCACUGAGGCAUGUUAGGGGCCACGAAGGGAUCAGAGCUUCACGAGUCUUGAAUAAAGUGACAGUGGGGAGGACAACAUUCUCAGUGAGGCCCCUGGCAAAGCAGGCACCUUUGGGAGAGCACGGUGCCCCAGGAGCCACCCGGCCUCUGCCUUCCCGUCUUCCCUCUGAGCCUGGCUGUGCCAGCUGCCUUGCUGGCCUUGGUGCUCUGUAGAAGUGGGGCCGCAGCCUCGGCCGGGAGUGCUGUGUCUGGUGACAGCCGCCUUUCUGCUCCUGGCCCCGUGCUGGCCUGCUAAAGGACUGAUGUCACAUCUGUGCUUGGACCAGGCCCUUCAGCCAGGUGGGCAUGUCUGGCCGAGGGACUUGCUGCCCUGUGCUCCUUGUGCUGCCUGUGUCCCCUGCGUGUCCUGUCGCCCUCCACCACCUUGGGUCAGCAGGGCUGGGCUUGGGACCUGAGGGGACAUCCUGCCACCACUGUGCUUGGCAGGAGCCAGGUGGGCCUUCCCCCUUGGCAGGCCACCUCCCUUCCCUUCUGGGAGCACCCGGAAGAGCGGGGGAUGGGGUGGCUGUGUCCCCAGCAUUGCGGCUUUGCCACCCUCAGCUCUGGAGGAGUGAAGUAGGUCACACCUUCCCGCCCAUCCGCCAUGCCAGCCUGAAUCGCCAGAUGAGUGGGCCAGCGAAGGUGGGGAGCCUGGAUCCUGUUAAGGAUAGGGGCAGGCAGCGCCACGUGCCCAGGUGCCCAUGCCCACGUGGAUGCCCUGUGCAGCUGCCCUGCCAGGAAGCUGUCCUCUGCCUGGCGUGGGUGCCAGUGGAAGUGGCAGCCCUGUCUCCGAGGUGGCACUUGUGUCGUCCCUCUUAAGGCUUUGUUUUGUCGUCAUGAGCCUUGGUGUGCACUAGAGGGGUUCACCGUGGCAGCCCAGCAGGCCCGGGUCUGUGUCCCAGGCCCAGCAACCUUGCUGUCCCCUCGGGGGGCUGGGAGUGGCGCGGUGAGCCUCGUGUGUCUAGCACCACCAGCAGCCCAGGCCCAUGGUCUCUAGCAAGCAGAGCCCGGGAGCUGCCACCAGUGCCUGUGUGGGCUUCAGGUGGGCUCGGGAGGCUGCUCCGGAUCCAUCCCCAGCUUCGGGCCCUGGAGAGCCACUUCCACAGGGAGGGUGCCCAGGUGGCCAUGGGGACCCUCCUGGCUCGGGCCUGGCUCCACCUCCUGUCACCCUCCUGGGCGGCACUGUGCCUCAGACAGCCCUGUCGGCUAGGCUCUGGCCUUGAGACUAAGGAGGGUGUGAGCCUGCAUGCCCAGGCUGGCCCUGCCACUUCCCAGCUGGGCGGGUCGCCUGGCUCCGUGGGGUGGGGCUGCACUCUGCUCAAUUGUGCCGUGAGGCUUGCGAGAGUUGGGCUUGGGGUCCGGAGCUGGGUCUUCUGAGGCCAGGGCUCUGCAGUGUCAGAGUUGGGGGCUGUCCAGUGCCCUCUCCUGGGUUUAGGGGAAUUCGAGGCUCUUUGAACUUUGCCUUUUAGGGGAUGCAGAGGGCUGCCACGGAGGGGAGGAGAUGGUCCCUGAAGUCUAGGCCAGCAGCUCAGGGAGGUAGCCCACCUCUGGCCAUAGCUGUGUCCUCAGUCUUGCCUCUAUGGCCAGAACCCAAGAGUGGCUCAAGUCCCUCCCUGUGCCCUCUGGCUGUGUCUGUCCCAGGACAAGUGGCCAGUGCUGGCAAGUCCCAGAGGUCCCAUGCUGGGGUCUCCCUGAGGCUGCCCCUGAAACUGUUUUGGGUCCUAUCUGUCACCUCCUGGCCCUGGGCUCUCCUGGGUCUGACUUUUUGUCUCCAGUCUCUGAUCCUCUGUCAAGGUCUGUGUCCUACAUCCUGGUCUCUGACCCUCAGCUCCACCCCGGGGACUCCCUAGCCAAGCCACACCUGCCGGGUGGUUAUCUCUUCCCUGCAGCUGGCCUGGAAGGAAAUGGCCAAUUCUGUCUACCUGGUCGUGGAGUACUGCAAUGGUGGUGACCUAGCUGACUACCUACACACCAUGCGGACCCUGAGCGAGGACACCAUCAGGCUCUUCCUGCAGCAGAUCGCUGGUGCUAUGCGCCUGCUGCACAGCAAGGGCAUCAUUCACCGUGACCUGAAGCCGCAGAACAUCCUGCUGUCCAACCCCCGGAGGACGCCGUGCGAACCCCAACAACAUCCGCGUCAAGAUCGCUGACUUCGGGUUCGCCCGCUAUCUGCAGAGCAACAUGAUGGCGGGCCACGCUGUGCGGCUCCCCCAUGUACAUGGUAGGUGCCUCCACGCCCUGCACGUGUGCGGCCCUGGUGCGGGCCGACCCCUUCCGAGGCCACCCCGGGUGGUGGCACCUGCUCCGGG
rnacentral:lncRNA from 1 species